AUUUGACGUUAGCGACAGAAGAAGCACCGGCUAACUCCGUGCCAGCAGCCGCGGUAAUACGGAGGGUGCGAGCGUUAAUCGGAAUUACUGGGCGUAAAGCGCAUGCAGGUGGUUUGUUUAAGUCAGAUGUGAAAGACCCGGGGCGUCAACCUCGGAAUUGCAUUUGAAACUGGCAGACUAGAGUACUGUAGAGGGGGGUAGGAAUUUCAGGUGUAGCGGUGAAAUGCGUAGAGAUCUGAAGGAAUACCGGUGGCGAAGGCGGCCCCCUCGGACAGAUACUGACACUCAGAUGCGAAAGCGUGGGGAGCAAACAGGAUUAGAUACCCUGGUAG
rnacentral:rRNA from 1 species